rnacentral:rRNA from 1 species
UACGAAGGGGGCUAGCGUUGCUCGGAAUUACUGGGCGUAAAGGGCGCGUAGGCGGACAGUUAAGUCAGAGGUGAAAGCCCAGGGCUCAACCCUGGAAUUGCCUUUGAUACUGACUAUCUUGAGUAUGGGAGAGGUGUGUGGAACUCCGAGUGUAGAGGUGAAAUUCGUAGAUAUUCGGAAGAACACCAGUGGCGAAGGCGACACACUGGCCCAUUACUGACGCUGAGGCGCGAAAGCGUGGGGAGCAAACAGG